rnacentral:lncRNA from 1 species
UGAUAUCAUUGAAAAAGAGAAAAUAGCCACUAACAUUCAUUAACAUGGGAACAUGCAUUUUAAGCACCAAAAAUGCCCCAUUAAAGUUUGUGACAAUUGUUCAUUUAUCACAAUUAAGCACACACUAUAAUGAAGUUUUUAAGAAUUUUCAUAAAUUAUCAUAAACAUGGUGUUUGAAUGGUUAAAAUUCUCACAUUUUUAUUGAAGAAAACAAGUCUGAAUCUUAUAAAAUAUAAAACUUUUCACUUUUUAGAUUUAAUUAUAUGGAUUAAUAAACAUGUGCCAUAGUCUACAAAGCCCGUCAACAGGUUCUAAAACUACCUAGCCAUUGUAUCUGAUACAAAACCCGGUGGGAGUGAGUGAAUUUAUACUCAAAAGAGGCUCAUGUCAAUGGCUACUUUCAUUGGAUGUUCUCCCUCCCUAAGGCGGUGCACAACCAACAAGUGGUUAUUCAAAGUCCAUGGCCCUCUGUUGAGCACUCUCUGGAUAUCCACUUCACAGAAAAAACUUUAUAAGUAAUGGCUGGAACUGAGAUCUACAAUAUUUACUCUCCCUAUCGGCCUCCACAGAUCUACCAAUGUAUUUUUCAUCGGUUCAAACUUCCCAACCACUUCUAUCAAGAAUCUACCCACCAAACAGAGGUCAUAU